GUGAAAUUGUUGAAAGGGAAGCGCUUGCAACCAGACCUGCCUGCAGUUGCUCAUCCGGGCUUUUGCCCGGUGCACUCUUCUGCUGUCAGGCCAGCAUCAGUUCGGGCGGUCGGAUAAAGGCUUCGGGAAUGUAGCUCCUCUCGAGGAGUGUUAUAGCCCGUUGCGAAAUGCGGCCAGCCUGAACUGAGGUCCGCGCUUCGGCUAGGAUGCUGGCGUAAUGGUUGUAAGCGGCCCGUCUUGAAACACGGACCAAGGAGUCUAACAUCUGUGCGAGUGUUUGGGUGUCAAACCCGUACGCGUAAUGAAAGUGAACGGAGGCGGGAACCCCUCGGGGUGCACCGUCGACCGAUCCUGAUGUCUUCGGAUGGAUUUGAGUAAGAGCAUAGCUGUUGGGACCCGAAAGAUGGUGAACUAUGCCUGAAUAGGGUGAAGCCAGAGGAAACUCUGGUGGAGGCUCGCAGCGGUUCUGACGUGCAAAUCGAUCGUCAAAUUUGGGCAUAGGGGCGAAAGACUAAUCGAACUAUCUAGUAGCUGGUUCCUGCCGAAGUUUCCCUCAGGAUAGCAGUAACGUUUUCAGUUUUAUGAGGUAAAGCGAAUGAUUAGAGGCCUGGGGGUUGAAACAACCUUCACCUAUUCUCAAACUUUAAAUAUGUAAGAAGUCCUUGUUGCUUAGUUGAACGUGGACAUUUGAAUGUAUCGUUACUAGUGGGCCAUUUUUGGUAAGCAGAACUGGCGAUGCGGGAUGAACCGAACGCGGAGUUAAGGUGCCGGAAUGCACGCUCAUCAGACACCACAAAA
rnacentral:rRNA from 1 species